rnacentral:lncRNA from 1 species
GCUGAAUGAGAUGAGAAGCUCUUGAACUUCCCUCCUCCCAUGGACACAGUGAAAAUAUAACUACACAAUGAGAAGUUACUUCUGAAAGAAAUUCACAAAGUAGCUGAUACAUCAGGCAAAUUCAAUCAUGAGGCAAGGCUUCUGCUAUUUACACUUAGUAACGUCGGC